rnacentral:rRNA from 1 species
AGUGAACGCUGGCGGUAGGCCUAACACAUGCAAGUCGAACGGCAGCACAGUAAGAUCUUGCUCUUACGGGUGGCGAGUGGCGGACGGGUGAGGAAUACAUCGGAAUCUACUUUUUCGUGGGGGAUAACGUAGGGAAACUUACGCUAAUACCGCAUACGACCUACGGGUGAAAGCAGUGGAUCUUCUGACCUUGCGCGAUUGAAUGAGCCGAUUUCGGAUUAGCUAGUUGGCGGGGUAAAGGCCCACCAAGGCGACGAUCCGUAGCUGGUCUGAGAGGAUGAUCAGCCACACUGGAACUGAGACACGGUCCAGACUCCUACGGGAGGCAGCAGUGGGGAAUAUUGGACAAUGGGCGCAAGCCUGAUCCAGCCAUACCGCGUGGGUGAAGAAGGCCUUCGGGUUGUAAAGCCCUUUUGUUGGGAAAGAAAAGCAGCAGGUUAAUACCCCGCUGUUCUGACGGUACCCAAAGAAUAAGCACCGGCUAACUUCGUG